UAUACGAAUAUGCAAAUUGGGCAAAAUACAUAAAGUAAUCACCUACUAAUCCAUGGAAACAAAAGCUGCCUUAGGUGGUUUACUAUUAUUUUAUAAAUAAUCUUGGCAUUACAAGUAUUACAUAAUUAUCAAUGAGUUGCUUGGCAUGUAUCUGAUGUCAGAAAAAUUGCAGUCAUCCUCUUUGCCUUCUCAAGAUGUUUGAGCACUAGCAAGUGAUUGUAUCUAACAAAGAUGCAACAAAAGAACUCAUGAACUUCAAUCAAUGUGAGAAGGCAGCUAAUUCAUUGAUGGCUAGACAACAUAUUUGUCUUCUGAACUUCCCUUCCCUUAAACAUUAAAAUAUGUGCUUCUCACACAUGAGCUAGAAUAUCAUCCAGAAUGUAAAUUGGCCCGAGAUGACCUAAGCUGUGAAACAAGCCCCGGACCAACACAUUCCAAAUUGCCACACUGGGACAGAUACCCUUACUUAACAUCUUACCAAGAUACAUGAAGGCUUCUUCUACCCCAAUUUGAUUACAGAUCCCCCAUAAAAGAUUGGUGUAUGCAAUUAUGUCUGGUUUCCGUUCUCCUCCUGCACUUACUCUAUCUACAAGCUGUAUAGUAGCCUUAACCUUACCUUGCUUACAGUAGGCAUAAAUUACUGUGUUGUAUGUAAUGGCAUUAGGCUUCACUCCUUCAACCAGCAUUUUUCCCUAGAAGCUUCGAAGUCUCUUCAAACAAUCCAGCAAGGCAAAAUCCACACAAGAUGGUAUUAUAAGUCACUGAAUUCAGUUUGACACUGUUGUCUUCCAUCUCCCUAACAAGUUCAAGAGCUUCUUUUAUUCUGUUUGCUUUCAGAAGACCAUCCAAGAUUUCAUUAUAUGUCAUGACAUUAGGUGAACAUCCAUAUUGGCCCAUCUUAUUGAACAUUUUUAAAGCCCAUUCUACUCUUCCACUACGACAUAAACCUUUGAUAAAUGCAUUGAAUGUAACCGUAUUUGGAGGACAGUCAUCAGUUGUCAUUUUCUCUAAAAGACGUUGAGCUUGGUUGAACAUAGAAUUCCUGCAAAGGGCGUCCACCAUGCAAGUAUACAAUACAACAUUAGGAAUGCAACCAUUCAACAUCAUCUUGUUCCAUGUCUCAGAUGCACCAACCAAAUCACCAGAUUUUGCAAAACCAUCAAUAAGAGUACUAUACGUGAUUGUAUUUGGGGAGUAGCCAUUUCCCUCCAUUUUACUGGAAACAGAUAAAGCUUCUUCCAUUUUCCCAUGGGAGCAGAGACCACGUAUUAGAGUGUUAUAUGAAACACUAUUGGGCUCAAAUCCUUCUCGAAUCAUCAAGUUCCAUAUAUUGAGUGCUUCAUAUACUCUUCUUCCCAAUGUUCACACCUUUACUUCCUUGAUGAAGGGCUAUUUCAUGGGAGGGAGAGUAUACGAGGCACUCAAUAUAUGGAACCAGAUGAUUCAAGAAGAAAUUGAGGCCAAUAUUGUUGGGUAUAACGCUCUAAUACAUGGUCUCAGCCUGCUCCCAUGGGAAAAUGGGAGAAGCUUUAUCUGUUUCCUGUAAAAUGGAGGGAAACGGUUGUUCUCCAAAUGUGAUCACAUAUAGCGCUCUCAUUGAUGGUUUUGCAAAAGCUGGUGACUUGGUUGGUGC
rnacentral:misc_RNA from 1 species